AUGACCUAUGAUUUGACAGCUG
rnacentral:miRNA from 1 species